rnacentral:lncRNA from 1 species
GUCUGGUAGUCCGGGGCGGGGACGGGGCGUGUCCGGAGCCUUGGGUCUGUGCGCGAAGGCGGGAGCAGACCGAGAAUGCGCGAUUCUGAUUGUGUCUUUGUGGUUAGGUGAUUGGGUGUGGCUGCCUCUGAGUUUGCGGUUGUCAUCGCCUGUCUCUAAGGUGUAUGUCUGGUUGUUUUUAUAUAUCCAUGUGUGAUACUGCGUGUUGUGGUGCCGAAUCCUUGUAACUGUGGGGGUGAUGAUAUGUGCGUCCCUGUUGCGUAUAUGUGCGUGUCUGCCUUGUUCCUGGAUGCUUAUGACUGACCGGUGAGGGUGUCGGACUGUAUGACUCUGUGACCGUAUGUGGUAAACUAUAUAAUUGUAUGCCGGUGACUUGGGUGACACUGUGUGUGUAUCCCUGUUAUGUUCCUUAAAGGGGCUGUGUGACGGAGAUAAAUGGUGACUGUGACAGUGUGUGCUACUGUGUAUGAGAGUAUGGAGUGCCUUUGCUAGUGUGUGACUGAAUGUCUCCAGAGUAAAUGUUCAAUUAUGACUGGGUGAUGUAGAAUGUCAUUGUGUGUGUCCCCCUGGAGUAGUGUGUGAUUUUGACUGUAUAGGGUAUUUUGGGGUGAUGGUGUGAAGAGUUUAUGAUUAUAAGGGAAUAACUGUGU